UUAAAUCUAUGCUUUAGCAGGCUUGAAAAUGGUCUAACUGGAAUGACGAGAUGGCAACAGGACCACAGAAUAGAUUCAGUGACCAGUACCAUGGCCAAAGGUGUGAGCCUGACCACCGAGUGCAUUAGUUUUCCCAGAAGUUUCCAACUUGAUUAUGAAGAGAAAAAAAAAAAAGAAGUAAAAGUAAGAAUCCAAGAGUGCCCACAAGCCUCGAAGAGCUUGGAUUGAACUACAAACGCAGGGACAAGGAUAGUAUCCUUGGAAAUGACCCACUGGUUAAAAAGAAGACAAUAAUAAAUCCCUGCGAAAAACAGCCAUUUGAAUUGCCAUGAACGUCAUUACUUUCAAAAGCCAGAGCAGCCUGCACUGUGUUUGGGUGGCACUGUGGAGAAGACAGAACAGUUGGAACAGAGGACUGGCAGCAAUGAGAUUACACAAAGAUAGCACUGAACGUCAUCCAGACUGCUGGUAAGUACAUUUGUCCGUGUACCAGGCCCAAAUAAAGAGCUUGCAAUGUGAAUUCAGGCCUGCGCAAGGUCAUGAUGCUACAGUUCACAUCAACAUGGUCCAGCAAGACACAGCCACACCGUAAGAGUGAAAUAGUGGGAAGAAAAAGCCACAGAGUAAAUAACUCACCUAAACAACUCACCCAGAAGCUCAGUGGCAUAAGUUCAGGCAGCUGCCUGUGUCUUUACCCCGUUACGCACUAGAUGAUGUGACUGCUAUUUUCAUAUAGGUAUUUGCACCCCAGCUGUGCUGGCAGGUUUUGUUUUUCCAGGUGCCAGGCAGCACCCAGGAGCUUACAUUCUUAGACUAAGCAGACUUGAGGCUUGCUGCCGUGUCACGCUCGUCAGACCAAACACGUAAUUUUUGAAAUGCCUGUGAGAGGUGACCUAGAGCAUUUGGCAUGUCCUCAGGGAAGGAUCAGCCAUGGGAACUCACAUCAGCUUUUUUAAACAAUUACUGGAGGAGCUCACAGGGAUAUUAUUCACAGGCUGGUAGAGGGGCCUGCCACGUGGGAGCUCACUCUUUCCUCCUGGCAUAAUGAACUUGGGGAGCUGGGCAGCAACUGGGAGGAGUGAAAAAGUACUUGAGAUGCUUGGAAACAUCUGCCUGUCCUCAGCUUACCUACCCUCACCUUUGUAGAGAUGUGGGAGGGACAGGUCCACGUGCCAGGAGGAGCGGGAGCGCUGCUGUGGGUUUUGAAGGCAAUUUCCAAGCUGCCCUCAUACUUCUGUGCAUGGUCCUGCCAUUUUAUUAAAUUCUUCUGAAGUUGCUCCUGACCUAAGCUAAGUACUUUUCUAUUGACAUCAACUUUUGCCACUUCACUACUCACCCCCAGGUUAUUAAUAAAGCAUUAAACAAUAUUGGUCUGAGUCCUGCUCUCUAGGGCACCUCAUUAUUAAUCUCUUUCCCUGCUAGAAUUGGCCAUUUAUUCCAUACCCAUUUAUAACCAGAUUUUAAUCCAUGACAGGACUUUACCUCUCACUUUGUGGUUACCAAGUUUCCUUAACAGUUUCUUGUAUGGGUGUUUAUCAAAAGGCUUUUGAAUGUCCAAAUAAAUUAUAUCCUCUGGUUGUUCUUUACCCACUAUUUUAUUAACUCUCAAAAGUGUAAAAGGUCUGACUGGCAAGAUUUAUUCUUAUAGCGGCUAUGUUACUUUUUUCCUUCUCUUGAGACUUGAUAUUUCCCUGCAGAUUGUAAAAUAUUUAGAGCAGUGACCCUCUGAAUCUUGUGGCUUGAAGCAGCACCAGAUAUGUUGUCAAUGUUUAAUUAAAACCAAAAGCAAAUGUAAUAUACUGCUGACUUUCUCAACUACUUCCUUGUAAUGACGUUAAGCUAAUAAUGCAAAAUUUCCAUGAGCUUGCUUGUCUGUGUAAAUAUUUACAGGGUCUUUAUCGCUGCAGUACCAGAUUUCCACAUGCAUUAAUGGAGUUAUCCUUGUAACACCUCUCUGAUACGGGGAAGCUUUAAUCCCAACUGCCUGAAGAAUCAGGGCACACUGACAUCUGGCACAUAAAAACCCAAACUGCUGUGCUUUGAGAAUACGGGUUAGGAGAUAAAACAUCUUCUCCCACUUACAGAUGCUGUAUUCACAAAAAAUACAAGAAUCAUCACAAUUCACAAAUGUAAUCAAAAAGGCACUGUGCCCCAGUGUCUCUUCCCAAGCUCUCUAAACCCCAAAGUUCAUUAUUCCCUUUGGAAAAAUGCAGAGCACCGCAGGUAGAGUCCAAGCUUUUCCUUUUUUUGCAGACCGUCUGUGCUUGCAGGUUUUUGCUGGCUCUGCUAGUGACCAUUUAUUUUGGACUGACACCACACAUCCAGUGUUUCAUUAUGCAUUUUUGCUCCAGCCAGAACUAAUACAAUUGGCUGCAUCUCAGCUUGCUUCAAAUAUACGAGGGAGUGGGUUUCCUGAGAGAAAAGGAAGAAACAACAUCAAAAAAAGAUAUCUUGUUUAAAGUAAAAAGCACUACAAAGAUUUUGCCAUGGAAGAAAACUUUAAAAAGGCUAUGAGAUAUAUGCGUCCAAGGGCCCACCACUGGUCCCACAUCUCUGAGGAAAGAGAGGCUUUCCAUCCUGCCCUGAAAGCUGACAAGACCUUGGCAAAGCAGGGAAUGACGGAGAGGUUGGACAUGGAGGAGCCCUCAGCGAAAAGGCAUGCAGGACAUGGACUUGCAUUUUCAAGGGACUUCUGGCCUCGUGGCUGAGGCUGGGCUUUCCAAGAAAAGCUCUCCUUCCACAUAAGCAGCCAGAACAGGUGGCCAGGAAUUCAACAGGUUAUGAAGUCCUUUCAAAAGAAAAUUAACUCUUAAGUGUCAAAGGGGAGCGAUGUGAGCGCAGAACACUUCUGGAAGAACAAACCUCCCCAGCAGAAGCUCUGAAGGAUACCAACUCAACAUUUUUCCCGUUGUGGUUUUUAAGUGAGGUUGUGAAGCUACCCGCACUUGAAAAUGUGGGACUUCUUUCUUGGGGCCUGGAGUCAAAAUCCCUUGAGACCAACAGUGGGGCUCACUUGAAGAUGCCUGCUUGUGGGUGUAAAACCAGGGAUAACUGAGCUUAGCCUGGCAAAUUUCAUUGACUCCAUAGACCAGCGAUGCCCAUGCAGCUGGGCUGGGAGCACAGAGGAGGACAGGAGCAUGGGCACUGGCAGUUGCUCCUGUCCGGGUCUGGAUGCAGACUCAACCAAACCUCCCCUUCCCGUCACCCAUUCCUGAAACGCAAGCUUUGCCUCCAGGACGGCCACGGCUCCUGCAGCAACAAAAUUAUUUCCCCAGGGAGCAGUCAAUAUAUUGCCACGAUCUUAAUCUUAUUUAGCAUGGUAGCAUGGUUUUAAUUUUUCCGUGUUUGAUCCCUCAGCUUUAGGAAUAUUGAUAGAAAUAGGGACUGUGAAGAUCAAAUAAAGAGCAGCCUGUUGCACAUGAAAAAAUACCCUUCAGUCCGCCCUCUCUCCGCGGUGAUUCAGCUUUUCCAACUGCGCUGCCGAGAUAAAAGGCUCGCAUGUGAGCAGAACCGUUAGCAAGGUCUGUAAUGCUUUCAGCGCACCGUCUUGCAAAAGAGCCUUGGCUGCGGGAGCAGAUACCGUCUGCUCCUAAAUCUCCUUCGGCGGCGGGGGAGGCCGGGGGUGCGGGGGAGGGGGAUGCAGAAAAAGGCUUCUGCUGCGUUUUCACGCCGGCACGGGCUGUUUGCUGUUCGCCCCAGCUCGCCGUUGACUUUAGAGACUGUAGCUCUGUUUAUGCCCCUGUGUCGGUUUUCCCGGCAGCGCGGUUUAGGGCGGCGGGCGGCCCCUCCUCGCCCAGCCGGGCCGCGCCGGGCCGCCCGCCCGCCCGCCUCGCCCCGGCACCGCCGCUCUAAUCAGUGGCAGGCCCCGGGCGCGGGGUAAUUAGAAACAUGGAAGGGGCUUUCUGUCUUUUGAAAUCUGUCUCUCAACAUCAAAGUGCUCCGCGCAAGUCGUCCUCCAGAGGUCGGCUCCCAUAUCUAAAUGAGUGAUGUAUUUCAUGCUAUCUGUCGGGAGGGACAUAAUGAAGAAAACCGGCUUUGAGAUGGGGCGUGAUGUGAAAAACAGGUGGCCCGCUUUAACGGGUUGUGGAGCAUCUGUUUUGCAGUCCGGUUGUGUUCCCGUAAACUGCGCGAACACGGCGGACCGGCGGCGGGCGCGCAACCUCCGCGGGCGCGCAGCCUCCGCGGCGCCAGGCGCUGCCCGGCCCGACGCGGCGCGUUUCUGGGGAGAGGCAAAGGGGAAGGCAGAAGGGUGGCUCUUCCCCCCGGCCCCUCGGGCCGCUCUCCUUAAAUCACUCCCUCCUCACGGUGACAAGUGAAGCCCGCCCCGCCCCCCCAUUGCUCCGCAGACCCUCUCCUCGUCCAGCAAGAACA